rnacentral:lncRNA from 1 species
GGAGGUUCUGAUCAGCAAAUAAGGAAGGAACAACAUCUGACAUCUUUACCCACUUUAACUCAUCAAGCAAAGAACUUGUAAUACGCUGAAUGCUGCAUAGAAGGUUUUGAAACUACUUACCUGCUGUGGAACACCUGUAUAACUUUAAAAUGCAUCAAUCAAUCUCGAGAGUAUGAUCAUGCUUCCUGCUUUUAAGGAUCUGAAGUUAACUGCAACUCCAAGUAUACAAGACUUCUUUGGGACCCAUGGAAGCAUCUCUACAUGCUCAUGUUUGCCAGAUUCAGUGGCCUCCUGAAACCUGGCCCUAGCUAAUAAGUUAAAAAGCUCUAAGUAAUCCCGAGCUGCAUUUGAAUCUCCAAGAUCACUUGUUCAUGGGUUGGUAAUACUUUAAAGAGCCAUUUGUUUAACUGCUAAUCUGGAUCUUAUAUUCUGAGCCCCAGCUUUUUUCUAAAGCAAAGAAAAUACAAAAUAAAAGUAAGACCAAAUGCCUUUGUACCAUGGAGAGAGAAAUGACUCAUUGGAAUGCUUCUGUUUUUCAUCACAUCAAAGAUGCAUCAACAUAAAUCAACCAUUAUAUCAUGCACCAUGAUAAAAAAGGGGGAUAAAAGUCCCCAAACCACUGCCAAUUAAACCAACACAGUGCCUUUGUAUUAUUCAGAAUUUUUAUCUUAGCCUUAUUGAAAGAGCUUUUUUAGAACAUAUUUAAACAAUUCUGUCAUAUUUCAUUCUUGCAUACUCAUUAAAAAGGAAAAUAUGAGAGAUACAAA